GGAAUGACAAAUGAUUUGACAAAAAAUGCACUAAAAUUUUUGAAAAUUUUAGCCAAGUAGUCAGAAUUUGAGCUUACUAAUAAUUACACAUUUUAUGUUAUAUAGUUGAAACUACCACAUAUAAGAAAUCAAAAAAUAAAAAGUCACCUUGAAACCUAACUAAACUGCAUAUUCUAGAAAUACAAGCUUUAUAAUAAAAAGUUUACACCCAGUAAUAGGUUGAGAAAAUCUGUUCCUUCACCUCUUGGCUUAUGAAAAACACCUUAAGAGUUCACUCUAAAUGAUUAACAAAAUCUUUAAUUAUUACGCAUAGUUGGUAUUUUGUUUUCCCCUGCUAUUUCUUCCACCCCUACUUGGUUCAUAAGGUUAGUGACGUUUUUCUCCAGAUCAUCAAUAAGACUGCUCAUAUCAUCAAUUUGGCCAAUUAUCUGGUCUGACACGGUCUGAAAUUUGUCUUGCAUUUGAUGAAGAAGUGUAUGAACAAUUCUGGGGUCUGUGCCCGUCAUUUCUCCGGCUCCGGACUACCCUCUGUGUCCCAGUGCUUAGCUAUGGCCACUGUGCACCUGCGCGGUAGGGCCAGUGCCCUGCGCGCUAGGGUCAGUGCCCUGCGCGGUAGGGUCGACACGUCUUCCGAAUCACGUGAGGGUAUAUUUGUGUCCGCCGACUUUGAGGACUUGAGAGUAAGACAGGUCACAGACGGAACUGAAUCAUGGCCUGAAAUGACUCUUCAUACCUGUCUCACAGAAUCCUAUUCUUCCUUCAAAGCCCAGGUGAUAAUGACACUGGUUUCUUACAACUUACUUCUGUCCACAUACUUCAGCUAUUCCCUGCAUAUGACACUUCAUCUCUUGACCCCAGGCAUUUUCUCUGGUCAUCACCCAUGAAUGGAAUAUUCUGCCUCCUCAUCUCUGUCUCUGGUUUCCUUCAGUCUCGAUAAAUUGCCAUUUUCUGAAAGAGGCCUUUACCAAUAACUCUUAAUGCUAGUACUUUCCCUAUAAGAUUAUCUCCAAUUUAUCCUGUACUUUUCUUGUUUGAAUAUUGUUGUUUGCAUGUUGUUUUUCCUGUUAAACUGUGAGGUCCUUGAGAUCAGGGUCUGGUGUUGCUUUUAUUUGUAUUCCCAAGGCAUGAUAGAAUGUCUGGAAUAUAGUAGGUGAUUAGUAAAUUCUUUUUAUUUACUUGAAUAAAUGCAAAUAGAGCUCAACUACA
rnacentral:lncRNA from 1 species